rnacentral:rRNA from 1 species
GAUUAUGGCUCAGGAUGAACGCUAGCUACAGGCUUAACACAUGCAAGUCGGAGGGGCAGCAUAGCGGAAGCUUGCUUCUGCUGAUGGCGACCGGCGCACGGGUGAGUAACGCGUAUCCAACCUUCCCUACAGUAGGGGAUAGCCCGGCGAAAGUCGGAUUAAUACCCUAUGUUCUUCUUCGAUGGCAUCUGACGAGAAGCAAAGGUUUACCGCUAUAGGAUGGGGAUGCGUCUGAUUAGCUUGUUGGCGGGGUAACGGCCCACCAAGGCUACGAUCAGUAGGGGUUCUGAGAGGAAGGUCCCCCACAUUGGUACUGAGACACGGACCAAACUCCUACGGGAGGCAGCAGUGAGGAAUAUUGGUCAAUGGGCGAGAGCCUGAACCAGCCAAGUAGCGUGCAAGGAUGACUGCCCUAUGGGUUGUAAACUGUCUUUUAUGCGGGAAUAAAGUCGGGCACGUGUGCCUGUUUGUAUGUACCGCAUGAAUAAGGACCGGCUAAUUCCGUGCCAGCCGCCGC